CGAUAGCGUUAGGGAUUGAAACAGCAUCCUUUUUGCUUUUUCUGCAAAAAGAUAUCGUGGAAAGCCCGUUAAAAC
rnacentral:sRNA from 1 species